CACGGAGCGAGACUGCAGAUUCUCUGCUUGUGUGCCACGUGCAGCAUUCUGCAGCUUCGCUCUGUAUU
rnacentral:pre_miRNA from 1 species